rnacentral:other from 1 species
GGAAACCUGGGAUGUUCGAUAACUCCCGUAAUUUUGAACCUACAAAACUUUAAACGGGACUCUUAUAUCUCUGUAAUAUGUCAAGCCUCCGAAUGAGUCAGUGGAAGGCAGAAAAGCAGAUGCGGACACCCACCUGGCUGCGGCUAGGAGUCAAAAUACGGGAAACGGCAUUCUGGGGACAU